GGAGGAGUGGCCGAGUCCGGUUGAAGGCGGCGGUCUUGAAAACCGUUGAGGGUUAAACCUCCGUGGGUUCGAAUCCUACCUCCUCCG
rnacentral:tRNA from 1 species